rnacentral:rRNA from 1 species
AUUGAACGCUGGCGGCAGGCCUAACACAUGCAAGUCGAACGAGUGGCGGACGGGUGAGUAAUGUCUGGGAAACUGCCCGAUGGAGGGGGAUAACUACUGGAAACGGUAGCUAAUACCGCAUACCAUCGGAUGUGCCCAGAUGGGAUUAGCUAGUAGGUGGGGUAAAGGCUAACCUAGGCGACGAUCCCUAGCUGGUCUGAGAGGAUGACCAGCCAGACUGGAACUGAGACACGGUCCAGACUCCUACGGGAGGCAGCAGUGGGGAAUAUUGGACAAUGGGCGAAAGCCUGAUCCAGCCAUGCCGCGUGUAUGAAGAAGGUCUUCGGGUUGUAAAGCACUUUAAGCUGGGAGGCGUUACCAGCAGAAGAAGCACCGGCUAACUUCGUGCCAGCAGCCGCGGUAAUAC